rnacentral:rRNA from 1 species
GAUGAACGCUGGCGGCGUGCCUAAUACAUGCAAGUCGAGCGAACAGAUGAGGAGCUUGCUCCUCUGACGUUAGCGGCGGACGGGUGAGUAACACGUGGAUAACCUACCUAUAAGACUGGGAUAACUUCGGGAAACCGGAGCUAAUACCGGAUAAUAUAUUGAACCGCAUGGUUCAAUUGUGAAAGACGGUUUUGCUGUCACUUAUAUAUGGAUCCGCGCCGCAUUAGCUAGUUGGUAAGGUAACGGCUUACCAAGGCAACGAUGCGUAGCCGACCUGAGAGGGUGAUCGGCCACACUGGAACUGAGACACGGUCCAGACUCCUACGGGAGGCAGCAGUAGGGAAUCUUCCGCAAUGGGCGAAAGCCUGACGGAGCAACGCCGCGUGAGUGAUGAAGGUCUUCGGAUCGUAAAACUCUGUUAUUAGGGAAGAACAAAUGUGUAAGUAACUAUGCACGUCUUGACGGUACCUAAUCAGAAAGCCACGGCUAACUACGUG